rnacentral:rRNA from 1 species
ACUAAGCGUACACGGUGGAUGCCCUGGCAGUCAGAGGCGAUGAAGGACGUGCUAAUCUGCGAUAAGCGUCGGUAAGGUGAUAUGAACCGUUAUAACCGGCGAUUUCCGAAUGGGGAAACCCAGUGUGAUUCGUCACACUAUCAUUAACUGAAUCCAUAGGUUAAUGAGGCGAACCGGGGGAACUGAAACAUCUAAGUACCCCGAGGAAAAGAAAUCAACCGAGAUUCCCCCAGUAGCGGCGAGCGAACGGGGAGCAGCCCAGAGCCUGAAUCAGUGUGUGUGUUAGUGGAAGCGUCUGGAAAGGCGUGCGAUACAGGGUGACAGCCCCGUACACAAAAAUGCACAUACUGUGAGCUCGAUGAGUAGGGCGGGACACGUGGUAUCCUGUCUGAAUAUGGGGGGACCAUCCUCCAAGGCUAAAUACUCCUGACUGACCGAUAGUGAACCAGUACCGUGAGGGAAAGGCGAAAAGAACCCCGGCGAGGGGAGUGAAAAAGAACCUGAAACCGUGUACGUACAAGCAGUGGGAGCACGCUUAGGCGUGUGACUGCGUACCUUUUGUAUAAUGGGUCAGCGACUUAUAUUCUGUAGCAAGGUUAACCGAAUAGGGGAGCCGAAGGGAAACCGAGUCUUAACUGGGCGUUAAGUUGCAGGGUAUAGACCCGAAACCCGGUGAUCUAGCCAUGGGCAGGUUGAAGGUUGGGUAACACUAACUGGAGGACCGAACCGACUAAUGUUGAAAAAUUAGCGGAUGACUUGUGGCUGGGGGUGAAAGGCCAAUCAAACCGGGAGAUAGCUGGUUCUCCCCGAAAGCUAUUUAGGUAGCGCCUCGUGAAUUCAUCUCCGGGGGUAGAGCACUGUUUCGGCAAGGGGGUCAUCCCGACUUACCAACCCGAUGCAAACUGCGAAUACCGGAGAAUGUUAUUACGGGAGACACACGGCGGGUGCUAACGUCCGUCGUGAAGAGGGAAACAACCCAGACCGCCAGCUAAGGUCCCAAAGUCAUGGUUAAGUGGGAAACGAUGUGGGAAGGCCCAGACAGCCAGGAUGUUGGCUUAGAAGCAGCCAUCAUUUAAAGAAAGCGUAAUAGCUCACUGGUCGAGUCGGCCUGCGCGGAAGAUGUAACGGGGCUAAACCAUGCACCGAAGCUGCGGCAGCGACGCUUAUGCGUUGUUGGGUAGGGGAGCGUUCUGUAAGCCUGUGAAGGUGUGCUGUGAGGUAUGCUGGAGGUAUCAGAAGUGCGAAUGCUGACAUAAGUAACGAUAAAGCGGGUGAAAAGCCCGCUCGCCGGAAGACCAAGGGUUCCUGUCCAACGUUAAUCGGGGCAGGGUGAGUCGACCCCUAAGGCGAGGCCGAAAGGCGUAGUCGAUGGGAAACAGGUUAAUAUUCCUGUACUUGGUGUUACUGCGAAGGGGGGACGGAGAAGGCUAUGUUGGCCGGGCGACGGUUGUCCCGGUUUAAGCGUGUAGGCUGGUUUUCCAGGCAAAUCCGGAAAAUCAAGGCCGAGGCGUGAUGACGAGGCACUACGGUGCUGAAGCAACAAAUGCCCUGCUUCCAGGAAAAGCCUCUAAGCAUCAGGUAACAUCAAAUCGUACCCCAAACCGACACAGGUGGUCAGGUAGAGAAUACCAAGGCGCUUGAGAGAACUCGGGUGAAGGAACUAGGCAAAAUGGUGCCGUAACUUCGGGAGAAGGCACGCUGAUACGUAGGUGAAGCGACUUGCUCGUGGAGCUGAAAUCAGUCGAAGAUACCAGCUGGCUGCAACUGUUUAUUAAAAACACAGCACUGUGCAAACACGAAAGUGGACGUAUACGGUGUGACGCCUGCCCGGUGCCGGAAGGUUAAUUGAUGGGGUUAGCGCAAGCGAAGCUCUUGAUCGAAGCCCCGGUAAACGGCGGCCGUAACUAUAACGGUCCUAAGGUAGCGAAAUUCCUUGUCGGGUAAGUUCCGACCUGCACGAAUGGCGUAAUGAUGGCCAGGCUGUCUCCACCCGAGACUCAGUGAAAUUGAACUCGCUGUGAAGAUGCAGUGUACCCGCGGCAAGACGGAAAGACCCCGUGAACCUUUACUAUAGCUUGACACUGAACAUUGAGCCUUGAUGUGUAGGAUAGGUGGGAGGCUUUGAAGUGUGGACGCCAGUCUGCAUGGAGCCGACCUUGAAAUACCACCCUUUAAUGUUUGAUGUUCUAACGUGGACCCGUGAUCCGGGUUGCGGACAGUGUCUGGUGGGUAGUUUGACUGGGGCGGUCUCCUCCUAAAGAGUAACGGAGGAGCACGAAGGUUGGCUAAUCCUGGUCGGACAUCAGGAGGUUAGUGCAAUGGCAUAAGCCAGCUUGACUGCGAGCGUGACGGCGCGAGCAGGUGCGAAAGCAGGUCAUAGUGAUCCGGUGGUUCUGAAUGGAAGGGCCAUCGCUCAACGGAUAAAAGGUACUCCGGGGAUAACAGGCUGAUACCGCCCAAGAGUUCAUAUCGACGGCGGUGUUUGGCACCUCGAUGUCGGCUCAUCACAUCCUGGGGCUGAAGUAGGUCCCAAGGGUAUGGCUGUUCGCCAUUUAAAGUGGUACGCGAGCUGGGUUUAGAACGUCGUGAGACAGUUCGGUCCCUAUCUGCCGUGGGCGCUGGAGAACUGAGGGGAGCUGCUCCUAGUACGAGAGGACCGGAGUGGACGCAUCACUGGUGUUCGGGUUGUCAUGCCAAUGGCACUGCCCGGUAGCUAAAUGCGGAAGAGAUAAGUGCUGAAAGCAUCUAAGCACGAAACUUGCCCCGAGAUGAGUUCUCCCUGACCCUUUAAGGGUCCUGAAGGAACGUUGAAGACGACGACGUUGAUAGGCCGGGUGUGUAAGCGCAGCGAUGCGUUGAGCUAACCGGUACUAAUGAACCGUGAGGCUUAACC